rnacentral:sRNA from 1 species
AUGUACUGGAGUACAUUGCGGUUCCUGUGCGCUGGUCGCCCCCAACCUGCCUGCGCUCGCGACGCUUGGCGAGGC